GCAAUGUUCAAGACCAGAACUGAUUGACAUGGAAGGACCUCAUUCACAGUUCAUUCCUGUAACUCUUGGCCACAGCCCUCAGUUCCUGGCCAUGGAGGGCUCCCUUUAGUUGACUGUCCAGUUGAAGAUGACUUAGCCAGGAAUGAAUGAUGCAAGAGGGAGGACAGCUAGCAAGAAAUCCCAGUGUCUUUUUGUCUGUGGCUGC
rnacentral:lncRNA from 1 species